rnacentral:rRNA from 1 species
AUACGAAAGGGGCAAGCGUUGUUCGGAAUUACUGGGCGUAAAGCGCACGUAGGCGGCAUUGUAAGUUGGGGGUGAAAUCCCGGAGCUUAACUCCGGAACUGCCUUCAAAACUACAAAGCUAGAGGAUGUGAGAGGAUAGUGGAAUUCCGAGUGUAGAGGUGAAAUUCGUAGAUAUUCGGAAGAACACCAGUGGCGAAGGCGACUGUCUGGCACAUUUCUGACGCUGAGGUGCGAAAGCGUGGGGAGCAAACAGGAUUAGAAACCCCGGUAGUCC